AUUGAACGCUGGCGGCAUGCCUUACACAUGCAAGUCGAACGGCAGCACGGGUGCUUGCCCCUCGUGGCGAGUGGCGCACGGGUGUGUAAUACAUCGGAACAUGUCCUGGAGUGGGGGAUAGCCCGGCGAAAGCCGGUUUAAUACCGCAUACGAUCUACGGAUAAGAGCGGGGGACCUUCGCGCCUCGCUCUAUAGGGUUGGCCGAUGGCUGAUUAGCUAGUUGGUGGGGUAAAGGCCUACCAAGGCGACGAUCAGUAGCUGGUCUGAGAGGACGACCAGCCACACUGGGACUGAGACACGGCCCAGACUCCUACGGGAGGCAGCAGUGGGGAAUUUUGGACAAUGGGCGAAAGCCUGAUCCAGCAAUGCCGCGUGUGUGAAGAAGGCCUUCGGGUUGUAAAGCACUUUUGUUCGGGAAGAAAUCCUUGGCGCUAAUACAGUCGGGGGAUGACGGUACCGGAAGAAUAAGCACCGGCUAACUACGUG
rnacentral:rRNA from 1 species